AUGGCUACCAUCUCUGAACCGGACCCUGGACUCUCUGAGGAACCUGAGGACACGUCUUUGGACCGGAGGGAGCGCAAGAGAAGAUUUGCUGGUAGAGCAAAGAAGAAGGCUAAGUCCAGACGCCGUGGAAGCCGUCAGAGAGUAACAAAGGUCACCAUCUCUGAACCGGAGCCUGGACUCUCUGAGGAACCUGAGGACACGUCUUUGGACCGGGAGGAGACCAGGAAGAGAAGAUUUGGUAGGUGCCCCUUUAUAGAGAAUUUAAAAGAAAUAAUCCAGUCCAAAACAAUGAUCCAAAAAAGUAUGAUUUCCUCCAAAUACAUUUAAGGUUUUUUUAGCCGAAGUGACCGUGUGUGUGUGUGUGUGUGUGUGUGUGUGUGUGUGUGUGUGUGUGUGUGUGUGUGUGUGUGUGUGUGUGUGUGUGUGUGUGUGUGUGUGUGUGUGUGUGUCCUACUCCUGAACAGCUCUAUGGUUUCACAUCACUGUCAUUGUGAGCAUCGGACUGCUGAGUAUUCUCCUCAUCUCCCUGCGCUUCAGUGAGUCUAAAUCCUAUCCUCCUGAAUAGAAUUACAAUACAGUAAUCAUAUCAUUGAUUGUAUUAAUAGCAAUGAUAAUGUUAAAUAUUGUUUUUGUUAGAUUUAGUGAUAAUAGUAGGGUUAGCACACAUACACCGCACGCACACCCAUAAACACAGCAUACACACACACAAACAAUCCACACACACGUGCACAAACACACACGCACAUGCACACACACUGCACACACGGGCGUGCUGAUGCAGGCGUUUCAAGACAAAUGCAGCGCAGGACACCGCCUACACACACACCACACACACAUGCACACACACACGCACACACAUGCACGUGCAUACACACACUGCACACACGUGGAUGCAGAUGUUUCAAAACAAUGGCAAGAUUGAGAUAACAGCCCCGCCGUCGACACACUCUCCAACCUGAGCCUUAUGUCCAUCAAAGACACUUUUUUGCAAAACCUUAUUUUUCUUUAAACAUUCUCCAUCUCCUUGAGCCUCCAGAAAUGUCUUGUGAUAUUGAAAUCCCCCCUCCCCCCUGCCGACUGUAUUAGCUGUUUUAUUUUUCUUAUGUUUUAUGUGUAGGCUAUGUGUGACUGUAGGCUACUGCUGCUUGUCUUGGCCAGAUCACUUGAAGAGAUGUUUAAUCUCAAUGACACAUUCUUCUGUUAACAAAAAAAAAACAUCUCUCACGUCAGGUAGCCAAUGUACAAUCUGUAAUCUAGCCCUCACACCCCCCCCCCCCCCUCACCCCCCCCCCCCCACAAGCCUGUGCUUUAGUUCACUAUAGUUAGGUAGGUUGCUGCCUUAGCUAUUGCAACAUGAACACAUUUUUCAGCUGUUUGUUAUUAUUAUUUCCAACUAACCAAUAGUAGUUGCCAUGCAUUUUUUUUAGUAUCAAUGCACUUUGAGCCCUGAAUAACAGUAAAAGCUAUUGAAUGAUUGAUUUGCAUGCAUAGUCUACUACACUUUCCAUUAAACAAAUCCCCAAACAGUUAGCUGAACAUUAUAUGGUCGCAUCCUUCCACUCCCUGUUUUCUCACCCUGUUUAAACAAGAAAUCAACUGCAUUUGUCCCAGUGUUUGUGCUAUGGGAAAUUAAAGGUCCCAUGGCAUGCUACUUCAUGGAUGCUUUAAUAUAGGUAUUAGUGGGCCCCAAACACAGUAUUUGAAGAUGUUCCUGAAAUUCAGCCGUGGUCCAGAAUUACAGCCACUACGGGCAGUCGCACAUUGAGCUUUCCCCAAAUGUGCCGUUUCUGUGUCAGUAGCUUUAAUGCAAAUGAGGAGGAGAGAAGCGGGUCAAGAAGGAGGGUGGGGGUGUGGCCCUGAGCAGCUUGAGGCCACGGUACCAUGCGCCUGCUUACAGUGGAUGUUUCACAAUGACGAAGCAUACAACAAUCAAUCCCUUUCUUUUUCACACCACGCACAUACGCAGCUGUGCACAAACAUACACGGAAGCACACACACACGCACGCACAAACAACGCUAGCCAUACAAAGGCAGCGACACACUCACCCAGGUAAGAUGUUAUGUUUUGAAACGUAACGGCUCCGCCAUCGACACACGCGCAGGUAAGAAU
ensembl:lncRNA